GCGUUUGUGGUGCAAGGCGUAGCAUCGCAGCCCGGAAAGCAGAAGGUGCGGGUUCGAGUCCCGCCUGGCGCA
rnacentral:tRNA from 1 species